AUGACUAAAAAUAUCAAAAAAAGAAAUGAAGAUCAAGUCCCAGUUCAUGUCAUGGCAUGCGCGGCACGCCCUCGCAUGAGGGACUUGGAGUUGUGGAAGAGGGGCUCAGGUGGGGGCAGAAAAUUUAGCCCCAUGUGCCGCAUGCUCAUCACGAGGAAACUGGGACUGACAUCGAAACUCGUGAUGGCGUCACUUCGCGAGGAAAGGAGAAAGUCAGGCAAAGGUGAUGGCAUGUGAUAGGCUCACACCGGAUACCCUAAAUAUAAGUUAAAACUAGGGGAGAGAGAAAUGAAUUUUGAAGAGGUUUUUGAGGAGACUGUGCAAGCCAUUAUCACUUCAAAGGUGAGGUGAGGUAUUAUGAUGGUUUUGAGUAUAUUCCACUCAUUUAUUACAAUUUAUGACAUCAAAUCCCAUGGAAUCCACAUAAAUUUCAAGAUUGACCAAGAAUCCCGACAAUCUUCCGAGUAAAGAUUUUGACUCAAAGAGCUUCAUUCCAACUUCAUUGGAAGGAGUCGAUGACAGUCGUAUGGGCAAUUUAUUGGUUGUGUUCCGGCAAAUUCAGGAGCUCCCAAAGUAGAUGGCACGAGCUAAAUGCCUUUGCUUUCCAGUCAUUUUUUAUUAGCCACACCUAAGUCAUCAGCUGGUGCUGAUACAUUAUACAAUUCUUUUGUUGAGCCAAGGAAUGCCCCGUACCUUUAUUCUCUUAUUUACGUCUUUAGAGGUUCCAUGACACACCCACAAUGAGAGAUCUAGUUAUGGACAUGGGACUCUAUACCUUUUGUUUCUCAUGUUUGUAUGUUAUGCUUCCGCAUUUAUCAUUUUGCGGCUUAUAUCCAAACUUAUGCUUUUCAAUUCA